UGAUCCAGGCGCCUGUGGAGCCUGUUCGCAUCGACUGACCAGAGUCCGCGAAUUCUCCGCUCCGAUCCCAUCCGACCUUCCCCCAUCCCAGCUUUCUAUUGUUUGAAAACUCUAAGAAUAAUGUCCCUGCAUCAGUUUUUACUAGAGCCAAUCACCUGUCAUGCCUGGAACAGGGAUCAUACCCAAAUUGCCCUUAGCCCCAAUAAUCACGAAGUGCACAUCUAUAAGAAAAACGGGAGCCAGUGGAUAAAAGCUCAUGAACUCAAGGAGCACAACGGACACAUCACAGGUAUUGACUGGGCUCCCAAAAGCGACCGCAUCGUCACUUGUGGGGCAGACCGCAAUGCCUAUGUCUGGAGUCAGAAAGAUGGUGUCUGGAAGCCAACCCUGGUGAUCCUGAGAAUUAAUCGCACAGCCACUUUUGUGAAGUGGUCCCCCUUAGAGAACAAAUUUGCUGUGGGAAGUGGAGCACGACUCAUUUCUGUUUGUUACCGAGUCUGAAAAUGACUGGUGGGUAAGCAAACACAUUAAAAAGCCGAUUCGCUCUACAGUCCUCAGCUUGGAUUGGCAUCUCAACAAUGUUUUGCUGGCAGCAGGAUCAUGUGACUUCAAAUGCAGAGUGUUUUCUGCCUAUAUUAAAGAAGUGGAUGAAAAGCCAGCCAGUACACCCUGGGGCAGCAAGAUGCCUUUUGGUCAGCUGAUGUCAGAGUUUGGGGGCAGUGGCACAGGUGGCUGGGUCCAUGGGGUCAGCUUCUCCGCCAGUGGGAGCUGCCUGGCCUGGGUCAGUCAUGACAGCACCGUGUCUGUUGCUGAUGCUUCAAAAAGUGUACAGGUCUCAACUCUGAAAACAGAGUUCCUACCACUCCUGAGUGUGUCAUUUGUCUCGGAGAAUAGCGUUGUGGCUAUUGGUCAUGACUGCUGCCCAAUGCUCUUUAACUACGAUGACCGUGGCUGCUUGACCUUUGUGUCCAAGUUAGACAUUCCAAAACAGAGCAUCCAGCGCAACAUGUCUGCUAUGGAACGUUUCCGCAACAUGGACAAGAGGGCCACGACCGAGGACCACAAUACAGCCCUGGAGACACUGCACCAGAAUAGCAUCACUCAAGUAUCUAUUUAUGAGGUGGACAAGCAAGAUUGUCGCAAAUUUUGCACUACUAGCAUUGAUGGAGCCAUGACAAUUUGGGAUUUCAAGACCUUAGAAUCUUCUAUCCAGGGCCUCCAGAUAAUGUGAAGCUGAGUGAGCCUCUGCCAUCCAGCACGACAAACAGUCGCUGACCGCAGCUUUGCCAUUGGAUGGAGAGGAAAGCUAGCCCCAAGGAAACAUAUCGUGCAAAUAUUGUGUGGUUUUGUUUGAGUAUAAAAUUGGU